rnacentral:rRNA from 1 species
GAUGAACGCUGGCGGCGUGCCUAAUACAUGCAAGUCGAGCGAACAGACGGGGAGCUUGCUCCCCCGACGUUAGCGGCGGACGGGUGAGUAACACGUGGGUAGCCCACCUAUAAGACUGGAAUAACUCCGGGAAACCGGGGCUAAUGCCGGAUAACAUGUUGGAACGCAUGGUCCUCCAGUGAAAGGCCGUCUUGCUGUAACUUAUCGAUGUACACGCGCCGUAUUAGGUAGUUGGUAAGGUAACGGAUUACCAAGGCAACGAUACGUAGCCGACCUGAGAGGGUGAUCGGCCACACUGGAACUGAGACACGGUCCAGACUCCUACGGGAGGCAGCAGUAGGGAAUCUUCCGGAAUGGGCGAAAGCCUGACGGAGCAACGCCGCGUGAGUGAUGAAGGCCUUCGGGUCGUAAAACUCUGUUAUUAGGGAAGAACAAAUGUGUAAAUAACUAUGCACGUCUUGACGGUACCUAAUCAGAAAGCCACGGCUAACUACGUGCCAGCCGCCGCCGUAA